rnacentral:rRNA from 1 species
GAAGAGUGGAGCGGUACGUCCGUCGCUCCGGCGAUGCUUAGUCACAUCCCUCCGGCUUGUCGAUGUCCGAUGAUGAAGGUGUCUGGCCUGGUCAGCUCAGACAGAUGGGUGGCCUUCGCCUUGUCGGUGCCCGGCCUGGUGGUACCCGCUUUGUCGGUCGGACAUGGUAGCUUCCCUUCACCUUGUCGAUGCCCGGCAAGAUAUGGGUAG